rnacentral:sRNA from 1 species
AUUCUGUCUAUCAUGAUGGCAGGUACAGUAAAUCAGGAACAGAAAGUGAGCUGAAGAGAACCAGUAAGUCGAUCUUUGUCCCUCGGAACUAUCGUACGAUGGGGUGACACAGUCGGUGGACUGAUACCAUGAAUGGAUCGAUCUUUAGGGAAGGUAGUUGGACUCAAGCCGAUAAGGGGCCCCCACUAGCAACAUGGCUAUUCGGUCUUGUUUGUUUUUGUGUCGUCAUUGGAGUAGGUUGGGGGAAUUGUUUUGGAGUGCAAGAUAACUUGGGGUCAACCUUUUGUGUCCCCUUCCUUUUAUGGAACAUUCUGGAAUAGAGUUUUUAUCCAAAAAAGUUGUUGUCCCUCCUCUGUCUCUUGGAGUUUUCAAUAUUUUCCUUGAGUGGAGUAAGGAAUGCUCGGUAAGGAAAAGAAUCCGUGAAACUGGAACUAUUUUUAAGAUAACCUUAUAUAUCUAAUUCAAACAUUGGUAAAAAAAUAAAUAAAUAGAGAACAGAUAAUUCAAUGUGUAACAACUAAAUAAGGCACUUGUUGUGGGAUGUCUUUGUAUUAAAGUUUUAGUAAAAUUC